AGGUAAUUAGUUUAAUUAGAACAUUUGAUUUCGGCUCAAAAAACUAUGGUUAAAGUCCAUAAUUAACCUG
rnacentral:tRNA from 1 species